rnacentral:rRNA from 1 species
AUUGAACGCUGGCGGCAGGCCUAACACAUGCAAGUCGAACGAGCGGCGGACGGGUGAGUAAUGUCUGGGAAACUGCCCGAUGGAGGGGGGUAACUACUGGAAACGGUAGCUAAUACCGCAUACCAUCGGAUGUGCCCAGAUGGGAUUAGCUAGUAGGUGGGGUAACGGCUCACCUAGGCGACGAUCCCUAGCUGGUCUGAGAGGAUGACCAGCCAAACUGGGACUGAGACACGGUCCAGACUCCUACGGGAGGCAGCAGUGGGGAAUAUUGCACAAUGGGCGCAAGCCUGAUGCAGCCAUGCCGCGUGUAUGAAGAAGGCCUUCGGGUUGUAAAGUACUUUCAGCGAGGAGGCGUUACCCGCAGAAGAAGCACCGGCUAACUCCGUGCCAGCAGCCGCGGUAAUAC